rnacentral:rRNA from 1 species
GACGAACGCUGGCGGCGUGCCUAAUACAUGCAAGUAGGACGCUGAAGGAGGAGCUUGCUUCUCUGGAUGAGUUGCGAACGGGUGAGUAACGCGUAGGUAACCUGCCUGGUAGCGGGGGAUAACUAUUGGAAACGAUAGCUAAUACCGCAUAAUAGUAGAUGUUGCAUGACAUUUGCUUAAAAGGUGCAAUUGCAUCACUACCAGAUGGACCUGCGUUGUAUUAGCUAGUUGGUGGGGUAACGGCUCACCAAGGCGACGAUACAUAGCCGACCUGAGAGGGGGAUCGGCCCAACCGGGACUGGGGACCCGCCCAGGCUCCUACGGGAGGCAGGCGGAGGGAAUUUUCGGAAAUGGACGGAAGUCUGACCGAGCAACGCCGGGGGAGUGAAAAAGGGUUUCGGAUCGUAAAGCUUUGUUGUAAGAGAAGAACGGGUGGGGGGGGGGAAAGUUCCCCCUGGGACGGUUUUUUACCAAAAAGGGACGGGUAACUACG